CGGCCCUUUCCGCCGCUUCGCAAACGGGCACUGGCUUCAGGAAAGGAUGUCCCAUGGCCGUAAAUGUAAGUGCCCCCAGCACUUGCUGUCACGGCAUUAUCGCCAGUGGUGCUGUCGUGAAGCGGUCUUCGCAUGGACCGCACAAUGAAGAUACGGUACGUCUGUAUCGUGCUUCUUGUUUCUGGCGUGUUGUGCCUUCACGCAGACCAGAGUUACUUCGGUAAUUCUGUUUUCGUAAAGACCAACGGCCAGGGCAGGUAAGCGAGGAUGCCGCCUUUCGGGGCGGCUUUCCUU
rnacentral:sRNA from 1 species